AUACGUAGGUGACAAGCGUUAUCCGGAUUUACUGGGCGUAAAGGGCGCGUAGGCGGCGCGGUAAGUCUGGAGUGAAAGUCCUGCUUUCAAGGUGGGAAUUGCUUUGGAUACUGCCGCGCUUGAGUGCAGGAGAGGUUAUCGGAAUUCCCGGUGUAGCGGUGAAAUGCGUAGAGAUCGGGAGGAACACCAGUGGCGAAGGCGGGUAACUGGACUGCAACUGACGCUGAGGCGCGAAAGUGUGGGGAGCAAACAGGAUUAGAUACCCUGGUAGUCCACACUGUAAACGAUGAAUGCUAGGUGUAAGAGGUAUCGACCCCUUUUGUGCCGGAGUCAACACAAUAAGCAUUCCGCCUGGGGAGUACGGCCGCAAGGUUGAAACUCAAAUGAAUUGACGGGG
rnacentral:rRNA from 1 species